rnacentral:rRNA from 1 species
UACGUAGGGAGCAAGCGUUAUCCGGAUUUAUUGGGUGUAAAGGGUGCGUAGACGGGAAGGCAAGUUAGUUGUGAAAUCCCGCGGCUCAACCGCGGAACUGCAUUUGAAACUGUUUUUCUUGAGUAUCGGAGAGGUAAUCGGAAUUCCUAGUGUAGCGGUGAAAUGCGUAGAUAUUAGGAAGAACACCAGUGGCGAAGGCGGAUUACUGGACGACAACUGACGGUGAGGCGCGAAAGCGUGGGGAGCAAACAGG